rnacentral:rRNA from 1 species
GAUGAACGCUGGCGGCGUGCCUAACACAUGCAAGUCGAGCGAGAAGCUUCUGAUGGAUUCUUCGGAAGAAAGAGGAAGUGGAAAGCGGCGGACGGGUGAGUAACGCGUAGGCAACCUGCCCCUUGCAGAGGGAUAGCCACUGGAAACGGUGAUUAGAACCUCAUAACACUUUACAUUCACAUGGAAGUAAAGCCAAAGAUUUAUCGGCAAGGGAUGGGCCUGCGUCUGAUUAGCUGGUUGGUGGGGUAACGGCUCACCAAGGCGACGAUCAGUAGCCGACCUGAGAGGGUGAUCGGCCACAUUGGAACUGAGACACGGUCCAAACUCCUACGGGAGGCAGCAGUGGGGAAUAUUGCACAAUGGGCGAAAGCCUGAUGCAGCAACGCCGCGUGAAGAAGAAGGUCUUCGGAUCGUAAACUUCUGUCCUAGGGGAAGAAGAACUGACGGUACCCUUGGAGGGAAGCCCCGGGCUAACUACGUG